CUUUCCAUCUCUCUUCAUAUAUACUGGUCUUUCAUUUUUUUUCUAGCCCUAAAUCCUAAUCCAUUCCCGAGCUUAUCUUUUCCUUACCCACGCGCUUACUUUCCGUCGGUAUCCGCCGCCGCUGCCCUUAUGUACCCUGCAAAGUCGGUCACCUCCCGCUUCUGUUGUACCGACUGGCCUCGUUGCGUGUGCCCCUCUCCUUCAUCGAUCUGUGGCCUUUUGCUGGCUGAGUCGGGUAUCAAUUUUGAUUUUUGCUGAAUUUAUUUCUUUUGGUGGAUUCGUGCAUUCUGCGGAUGACAUCCUCAAGUGUUUGAGUUUCUCGAGGAGAUGUUCUGGUCGUUUGCUUAAUGAAAAUUUCAUUGUGGUCCUAUCUCAGGAUAUUGUGGGUUAAUUACAACUCCAUGCUGAAAAUGUGCAAGAUGCUGCUCAGCUUGCUGAGUUAUUUGGAGUUGUGUGCAAAACCAAUUUGAUGCUCAGAGCCUAGUAGUGUUUAUUGGUCAAGCAAGGACUGUUGAUAAAAUUAGUGUGUUAGUGGGCAUGUUUUAAUUGAGCUAGUGGAGAGAAAUAAUAGGGUAAUGGUUGUAAUGUGGUGUUAGUGGGUCAAUGAGUUGACAAGUUGAGAUUGUGGUGGAAGAUAGUGAUUAAUGUUGUGGUGUUAGUCAAGUUAGUGGGUUUUUUAAUGUGAUGUAUUAACCUAUAAAUAGGAUAUGUAAUGAUCAAUAAAAGUAUGUGAAAAACUUAUUUUUUAUCCUCCUUGUGUCCUUGACUCGUCUAUUUUUUCUUAUCAGUGGUAUCAGAGCGAGGUUUCGAAGAGAGUUAUGUCUUCUUAAAGUUUUGUACAACCUGCCAUUCCUCGAUUUGAUGGUAACUAUGACCAUUGGAGCAUGCUCAUGGAGAAUUUUUUAAGAUCCAAAGAAUAUUGGAUGGUCGUGAUUUCUAGAGUAGCAGAAUCGAUAGAAGGUGUUGCGCUAACAGAUGCGCAAUUGAAAGAUCUUAAAAUAAAAAAGAAUGAUCUCUUCCAAGCUAUUGAUCGCUCAAUCUUGGAAACCAUUCUCUGCAAGGAUACUCGCAAAGAUAUCUGAGAUUCUAUGAAAAAGAAGUACCAAGGUACAACAAGAGCUAAGAGGCAGCAGCUUCAAGCACUUCGUUUGGAGUUCGAAAUGCUCCGAAUGAAAUUAGGAGAAUCAGUUUCAGAUUAUUUUUCAAGAACGAUGACAAUUGUCAACAAAAUGUGGAUCCUGGCGACAAGAUAGAGGAUGUUCUCAUCAUUGAAAAAAUUCUUCGAUCUAUGACACCAAAAUUUAAUUUUGUUGUCUGUGCCAAUGAAGAAGCAAAUGAUGUAAGUCUACUUUCAAUUGAUGAAUUACAAAGUUCAUUAUUAGUACAUGAGCAGAAAAUCAAUCAAUGUGAAAAAGAGGAGCAAACAUUGAAGGCUUUAUCAGAAAAUCACUCAACAAAUGGUAGAAGUGAUAAGGGAUGAGGAAGAGGAAGAGGAGGUAGAAACGACAAUGAUCUUGUGAACCAACAACAAAAUCAACACCAAGAAAGCUAUUUUCAAAGAUGAGAUAAAGGACGUGGAGGCCAUUAUUCUACAACUAAUAGAACAAAGUUAGCAGACAAGUCUAAUGUUGAAUGUUACCGAUGUCAUAGGUAUGACCAUUAUAGAUCAGAAUGUUAUACUAAUUUGAAGAAACAAAAUGAAGAUUAGACUAACUUUGCAGAAGAAGAAGUGUCCCUUUUAAUGGUAUGCCAUGAGAAAGAGAAAACUCAAUGGAAUAUAUGGUAUUUAAAUACAGGCUGCAACAAUCACAUGUGUUGAGAAAAAGAUACAUUUUCAGACUUAGAUGAAUCCUUUUGCAGUUCUGUCAAAUUUGGCGACAACUCUACAAUUUCUGUUAAUGGGAAAAGGAAAGGUAACCAUACAAGCAAAAGUAGACUCUACUCAUAUUAUCUCUAAAGUUCUUUUUGUGCCUGAUUUAAAAAUUAGUUUGCUUAGUGUGGGUCAAUUACAAUUAAAAGGAUAUGAAAUUGCUAUUAAAGAAGGAGUUUGUCGGAUUCAAGAUGCAAAGUUGGGCUUAAUUGUGCAAGUUAAUAUGACAACAAAUCGUAUGUUUCCGCUUUAGCUUCAUACUACACCACAUUCAUGUUUUUUAGCAAAAUUUGAUGAUGAGGCAUGGUUAUGACACUUUCGCUAUGAGCAUCUAAAUUUUAGUGGUUUGAAAACACUAAAAUAGAAGAAUAUGGUGAUCGGUCUUCCUCAAAUUACAUCUCUUUCUCACGUUUGUGAAGAAUGUGUUGUUAGCAAACAACAUCGUAAUCAAUUCCCAUAAGGAAAAUCUUGGAGAGCAAAGGCGGCAUUGGAGCUUAUCAUUCAGAUAUUUGCGGACCAAUAACACCGCAUUCUAAUGGAGGUAAAAGAUACAUAAUUACCUUUAUUGAUGAUUAUAGCCGCAAAAUAUGGAUUUAUUUGUUGCAAGAAAAAUCCGUAGCCUUUACAACUUUAAAAAAUUAUAAAGUGCUUGUCGAGAAAGAAAUUAGCAACUCUAUUAAAGUUCUACGUACAGAUGGUGGUGGAAAAUAUAACUCACAUGAAUUUGCAAAUUUUUUUGAGAAUCAUGUAAUCAAGAGACAACUUACUACAACUUACACACCUCAACAGAAUGAUGUAUGCGAGAGGAAGAACCACACUAUUAUGAAUAUGGUGCGAAGCCUUCUGACAACAAGUGGUAUUCCUAAAAGUUUUUUGCCAGAAGCAGUUAAUUGGAGCAUCCAUAUAUUGAAUAGAAGUCCUACAUUAUCUGUUCAAAACAUGACACCGGAGGAAGCCUGGAGUGGAAAAAAAAUCGACUAUUGAUCAUUUUUGGAUUUUUGGGUGUAUUACUUAUGCUCAUAUUCCAGAUGAAAGGAGAAAGAAGCUAGACAACAUAGGUGAAAAAUGCAUUUUUCUUGGUAUGAGCAAUACAUCAAAAGCUUAUAGAUUAUAUAAUCUUUGCACUAAGAAAAUCAUUAUAAGUCGUUAUGUUAUUGUUGAUGAAAAAGACACUUGGCCAUGGAAUCAAAAUGACAUUAAAAAAAUUUAUCCCCGUUGAUUUUGAUGAUGAGGAGAAAGUACAAUAGCUAUGGAGGAUGAGCAACAUGAGGAAGUCUCUCAAAAUAUUCCUAUAGCAGAUCAAAGUUCGGUUGAAGCAGAAUCACAAAGGCCACAACGUGUUCAAAGAAGGCCAACACGGAUGUCUGAUUAUGAGGUGACGGGAAUUGAUCAAGUGGCUGUUAAAGAAUUAAAAUCGAGAAAAGCUAUGAUGGAAUUACAGCAAUUGAAAAAAAUAAUACAUGGGAGUUUAUGUGAUCUUUUUAAAGAGCAAAAGACUAUUGGUGUAAAGUGAGUUUACAAGACAAAGCUAAAUGAACAUGGUGAGAUUGACAAGUACAGAGCACGCUUGGUGGUGAAGGGCUAUAAACAAGAGUUUGGUGUUGACUAUAAAGAAGUUUUUGCUCCUGUAGCAAGACAUGAUACAAUCAGAGUGGUGAUAGCAAUGACGACACAAAAUUCAUGGCUUAUCUUUCAAUUGGAUGUAAAAUCAGUAUUCCUCCAUGGAGAUUUGAAAGAAGUGACAUGUAUCAAUCAACCUCCGGGUUAUGUGAAAUUUGGUAAUGAGCAUAAAAUUUAUAGAUUAAAGAAAACUCUAUAUGGAUUAAAACAAGUCCCACGGGCUUGGUAUAAUCGUAUAGAAACUUAUUUUUUAAAGGAAGGCUUUCAGAACUGCUCUUAUGAACAUACUCUUUUUAUUAAAAUUGAUGAUUGAGGAAAAAUAUUGAUAGUUUGUUUAUAUGUAGAUCACUUAAUCUACAUUGGAAAUAGUACAUCUAUAUUUGGAAAAUUUAAAAGAAUCUAUGACGAAAGAAUUUGAAAUGUCUGGGUAUGAUGCUUUAUUUCUUUGGUAUUGAAGUGGUGGAAGCUUCUGUUGAAAUUUUUAUUUCUCAAAGAAGAUAUGUGCAAGAAAUUCUGGACAGGUUUCAAAUGAAAGAUUGCAAUCCUGUAAAUACUCCUUUUGAGUUUGGAGUGAAGUUACAUAAAGAUAUUGGAGGAAAGAAGGUUGAUGCCACACUUUACAAACAGAUAGUGGGGAGUUUAAAGUAUUUGACAGCGACGAGACCUGAUAUUAUGCAUGUUGUAAGUAUAAUUAGUAGAUACAUGGAUUGUGCUUCAGAAAUGCAUCUCUUAGCUGCAAAGAGAAUUUUUCGAUACUUGCAAGGUACUAAAGAGUUUGGGUUGUUUUAAAAAAGAGAGAAAAGUCAGAUCUAUUUGGUUUUACAGAUAGUGAUUAUGCAGGAGAUCUAGAUGAUCGAAAAAGUAUAUCUGGGUACAUUUUCAUGUUGGGUACCGGAGCUAUUUCAUGGUCUUCGAAAAAACAAUCAAUCGUUAUAUUAUCAUCCACAGAAGUUGAGUUUGUUGCUGCAACAUUUUGUGCUUGUCAAGCUAUUUGGUUAAAGAAGAUUCUUACAGAAUUAUAUUUCAAAGAGGAUGAACCUAUUUGGAUUUAUUGUGACAAUAGUUCGACAAUAAAACUUUUUAAAAAUCCAGUGCUACAUGGUCGAAGUAAACACAUUGAUGUGAGGUAUCAUUUCUUGAGAAAUCUCACAAAUGAUGAAGUCACUAAUCUUGUUUACUGCAGAAGCGAGGAUCAAAUUGCUGAUAUACUAACCAAGCCUCUCAAAUUUGCUACAUUUCAAAAGCUCAGAGAGCUAUUUGGUGUUUCUACAUAGAGUUUAAAAUUUUGACUCUUUUUAAACUGAUUAUUACAUUUGGAAUAUCAGUUUAAGGGAGGGAUUGUUGAUAAAAUUAUGUUAGUGGGUAUGUUUUAAUUGAGUUAGUGGAGAGAAAUAAUAGGGUAAUGGUUGUAAUGUGGUGUUAGUGGGUCAAUGAGUUGGCAAGUUGAGUUAGUGGUGGAAGAUAGUGGUUAAUGUUGUGGUGUUAGUCGAGUUAGUGGGUUUUUUAAUAUGUGAUGUAUUAACCUAUAAAUAAGAUAUGUAAUGAUCAAUAAAAGUGUGCGAAAAACUUAUUUUUUAUCCUCUGUCCUCGACUCGUCUAUUUUUUCUUAUCAUGGACAACUUCUCUUGCUGAAUGAGUGAACUCAAAAUCUCCCCAUCUUUAGGGCUCAACAUUCCUCUCGGCUUCAUUGUUUGCUCACAGUAUUGGAUAGUAUCCUUUAGAUCUGAAGCUGCAUAUGUAUAUAUGUAUAAGAUUUUAACCCGAAGUGAUUUUUUUUUUAAUUCUGUUCUCUUCUAAAAUUUCUCUUAACAAGAAUUUAGCAGGUUCGACUGGCCACAAGAUUUGCUGCUGCAAAGUAAAUUGGGGAUAUUGCAAAGUCACACCUUCAAGAGUUGCACUCCCUUCUAAAAAAGGUUUCCCAAUAUCUCCGAAGCAAGAACCGGGAUACAAGAGUUGCUGGCUGCUCGUGCUGUUGGAGCAAUUGCUGAGAAUGUUAAACACAUAUCUCUUAAGGAGCUUCUAAAAUCCCUAGAAGCAGAGUUGGCAGAAGUUGGAUUUUCUGAUGCCUCAAGAGAUGUUGGAGUGUCCUUUUCAAACAUAUGCCCCAACACUACCACAGGACUCUCCUUUAAAAGUUUCGACAUUAAUAAGGUGUUGGAAUUUGGAUCUCCACUGUUGGCAUCAGAUGGACAGGUGCCAAAAUGAGGUUUUUGAUCGCAUUCCGAACCUAUUCUGGUGCUGAAUUUGGUUCAAAACGAGCAGUGGCAACGAUGGUUAAUUCAGAUUCCGAUGCCGUCAGAGGGAGAGGAGAUGUUGGCUAGGCAGAGCAGAUUGCUGGUGAGUGGUUGCGAUGGAAACAAGGUUGUGGUCUUAUCGAUGGACGUCAGACAAUUUCGUUGGCACUGGCUCAAAUGAAGGAGGGACCUGCUACAACGUAUAUCUCACGAAGGGUGUGAGGUACCAGGCUGUGCGGGGAAACGGGGCCAGGGUGAGAGAGUUCAGUUAGAACCCAAAUUAAUUAGGAGCAGCCCCCAGCACCAAAAUUGAAUUCUGAAAUCACCUAGAAGAUUGGGAUGAAAUUGAUGAAGUGAAUGAGAUAAAUAUCUUAUGAAGAGAGAAUAAAAUCUCACUUAGAGGAAAAACUCUCACGGAGAAAAAUCACACACGAAAUAUUAGAGAAAAUUGUUAAUUAAAAAUUGCACUAAUACAUGAGAUGCUAACUGUA